CUGUCAAAUGUCUUCUUAGCGCUGGCGAAAUUCCCGUUCGCUGCCAGCCUGAAACAAGAUAGGUGGGGUUAUCGUAUCCGAAUAAGAUGUAUAGUUCUUAACAUUGAUUGUCAGGACUGUGAUUUUGUGAGAAGUGAGAACAGAUGACCAAUACUCAAAGAUAACAUAGCACUCCAAUACUCGUAUCCACAGACUGAAUGGAUUUUGUUGCAUGUCCAUAUAUGGGCA